UUGGAGGGCAAGUCUGGUGCCAGCAGCCGCGGUAAUUCCAGCUCCAAUAGCGUAUAUUAAAGUUGUUGCAGUUAAAAAGCUCGUAGUUGAACUUCGGGGUUCACCCAUUGGUCAGGCUUAAUUGUCUGCACUGGUGAGAUGAAUCUCUACCUUCUGAGGAACUUUCAUGCCAUUUAUUUGGUGUGAUGGGAAAUCAGGACUGUUACUUUGAAAAAAUUAGAGUGUUUAAAGCAGGCUAACGUCUGAAUACAUUAGCAUGGAAUAAUGAAAUAGGACGGACUGAUUCUAUUUCGUUGGUUUCUAGGAUCACCGUAAUGAUUAAUAGGGAUAGUUGGGGGCAUUAGUAUUCAAUUGUCAGAGGUGAAAUUCUUGGAUUUAUUGAAGACUAACUACUGCGAAAGCAUUUGCCAAGGAUGUUUUCAUUAAUCAAGAACGAAAGUUAGGGGAUCGAAGACGAUCAGAUACCGUCGUAGUCUUAACCAUAAACUAUGCCGACUAGGGAUCGGACGAAGUUAAUUUUAUAAUGACGCGUUCGGCGCCUUACGGGAAAC
rnacentral:rRNA from 1 species